AAAGCAUUCAGAGUUUCUGUCUAUGCUCGUCUGCCGGUUCCUGUCAUCAGCAGUAACUCUUCAAACUGUUCUUCAUCAUCAAACUGUUCAUUGUUGUGUUCAGUGUUUAAUGUGAGUCGUGUGACUCUCUCCUGGUACAAAGGAAACAGUUUAUUGUCCAGCAUCAGUGUGUCUGAUCUCAGCAUCAGUGUCUCUCUACCUCUGGAGGUGGAAUAUGAGGAUAAAAACACCUACAGCUGUGUGCUCAACAAUCCCAUCAGAAACCAGACUCAACAUCUGGACAUCAGCAAACUCUGUCACACAUGUUCAGACUCUGUUCACUGUUGUGGUUCUACUGAAGCUGUGAUCCGAUUGGUCCUCUCUGCUCUGGUGGGCGUGGCUACUGUCAUUAUUCUGGUUUAUGACAUCAGAUCCAGAAGAGCUGAACAGGAUCAAGCACAUAUUCACACAUCAGAAACAAUUGAAAUCUAAAGCAGAAUGCAGAACUUUAAAGGUUCUUCAAGUGUCACUUUGUUCUUCCAGUGUUUUUUUCAUAAUAACUACUAAUGAUUGCUUAAACUUGUGCUGUCUCUUUUCUUUUCGUUUCGUGUUUCCUCUGCUGUGCAAAGAUGGAUUUUGUUGAUACUGAUUUCAUUUGAUUAGUAACAGUCCCUUAGUGUCUUGUUAUUCUAAAUGAAUUUAUUGAUUAAAUCUAAGAAAUUGACAUUAAAGAUGAUGAAUAUAUCAUGGAUAUCAAAUCCAACACUUGUGCAACAUUUCAGGUUUCUGCUAGUAGUUUUUGUACAGGGCUGAAUUCAUUUGAAAAUGUAAAGUUCAGCAAAAUCUUGUUCAUUUUCAUGACUUCCUCUGAUAAAUCAAACUGUGAUGUGGGUCGAAUCCUGUUGAGGGAGGAUUCAACCAGAUAAAUAUCACAGUUCAGUCGUAUUUCACAGUGUUUUCAGACAUUUUAAACAUCACUAUCGUGAACCGAUGAAGAAAAUGUUUCUCAAAUUAGUUUUGUUCUGUUUAUAGUGUCUGGAUGGUGAGUUUAAAAUGUGUUUUUAUAACUUCUAGUGUUUUUGUCAUAACAACUACUAAUGAUCGCUUAAACUUGUGCUGUCUCUUUUCGCUUUUAGUUGUUUUUUAAUAGCCUUAGUUUUGAGUUUUUUAAAAUCCAAUUUGAUUACUGCUAACUUUAUGCCAUAUGUAUCAGGCUGCAAUUAUCAAUAAAGUUUUAUCUGAGGUUUAA